UACAGAGGUCUCAAGCGUUGUUCGGAUUCAUUGGGCGUAAAGGGCGCGUAGGCUGCGGGGCAAGUCGGGUGUGAAAUCUCAGAGCUCAACUCUGAAACUGCACUCGAUACUGCUUUGCUUGAGGACUGGAGAGGAGAUUGGAAUUCACGGUGUAGCAGUGAAAUGCGUAGAUAUCGUGAGGAAGACCAGUGGCGAAGGCGGAUCUCUGGACAGUUCCUGACGCUGAGGCGCGAAGGCCAGGGGGAGCGAAACGGG
rnacentral:rRNA from 1 species